UACGUAGGUGGCAAGCGUUGUUCGGAAUUACUGGGCGUAAAGGGCUCGUAGGUGGCCAACUAAGUCGGACGUGAAAUCCCUCGGCUUAACCGGGGAACUGCGUCCGAUACUGGUUGGCUUGAGUUUGGGAGAGGGAUGCGGAAUUCCAGGUGUAGCGGUGAAAUGCGCAGAUAUCGGGAAGAACACCGGUGGCGAAGGCGGCCCGCUGGGCAGGAAGACGGGCGCAAGCCCGUCGGCUGACACUGAGGCGCGACAGCGUGGGGAGCAAACAGG
rnacentral:rRNA from 1 species